rnacentral:tRNA from 1 species
GCAUGCGUGGCUGAGCAGCAAAAGACCUGACUGUAAAUCAGGCGUCCCGGUGACUUCGUAGGUGCGAGUCCUACCGCAUGCACCA